rnacentral:rRNA from 1 species
GACGAACGCUGGCGGCGUGCCUAAUACAUGCAAGUAGAACGCUGAAGGAGGAGCUUGCUUCGCUGGCUGAGUUGCGAACGGGUGAGUAACGUGUAGGUAAGCUGCGUGGUAGGGGGGGACAUCUAUUGGAAGGGAUAGAUAAUACAGCAUAAGAGUAGAUGUUGCAUGAGAUUUGUUUAAACGGUGCAAUUGAAUCACUACCAGAUGGAACUGCGUUGUAUUUGCUAGUUGGUGGGGUCACGGCUUACCAACGCGACGGAUCAUAGCCGACUUGAAGAGGGUGUCCGCCACACUGGGACUGGAACACGGCCCAGACUUCUUCGGGGGGCAACAGUAGGGGAUCUUCGGCCAUGGACGGAAGUCUUACCGCGCAACUCCGCGGGAGUGGAGGAGGUUCUCGGGACGUAAAGCUCUGUUAUAAGAGAAGAACGAGUGUGAGAGUGGAAAGUUCACACUUUGACGUUAUCUUACCAGAAAGGGACGGCUAACUUCGUG